rnacentral:rRNA from 1 species
AUGAACGCUGGCGGCGUGCCUAAUACAUGCAAGUCGAGCGAACAGACGAGGAGCUUGCUCCUCUGACGUUAGCGGCGGACGGGUGAGUAACACGUGGAUAACCUACCUAUAAGACUGGGAUAACUUCGGGAAACCGGAGCUAAUACCGGAUAAUAUAUUGAACCGCAUGGUUCAAUAGUGAAAGACGGUUUUGCUGUCACUUAUAGAUGGAUCCGCGCCGCAUUAGCUAGUUGGUAAGGUAACGGCUUACCAAGGCAACGAUGCGUAGCCGACCUGAGAGGGUGAUCGGCCACACUGGAACUGAGACACGGUCCAGACUCCUACGGGAGGCAGCAGUAGGGAUUCUUCCGCAAUGGGCGAAAGCCUGACGGAGCAACGCCGCGUGAGUGAUGAAGGUCUUCGGAUCGUAAAACUCUGUUAUUAGGGAAGAACAAAUGUGUAAGUAACUAUGCACGUCUUGACGGUACCUAAUCAGAAAGCCACGGCUAACUACGUG